GAAACUGCAGGUUCUCAAGAUAAAAGUCUGU
rnacentral:piRNA from 1 species